rnacentral:lncRNA from 1 species
ACAGGCUGCAGAUCUGGAGUACAGGUGCGGAUGCUGUUCUGGUGAACAGGCCUCAGUCACCCUGCAGCUCAGUGCACUGCCUCGCGUGCUGGUGCUCAACCUGAAGAGAUUCAAGUUCAUAAAUGGCCGUAUGAAGAAACUGAGGAACCCUAUGGACGUUCCGACUGAGCUCAGCCUUUCCUGUGGAGAAACAGCACAGCAGCAGCGCUCUCAGUCUCAGGAUGGAGGUGCCACAUACGAGCUCACCAGUGUGGUGUCACAUUCAGGCAGAAUGUUUGGUCACUACAUCAGUGACAUCAUCGAAGGGUCUGCUGAUGGCUGGCUCUGCCUAAAUGACAAAUAUGCCAGCAGACUGAGUGAGCAGGAGCUUCUGCAGAAAAGAGCAAAAAAAUCCUACCUGCUCUUCUAUGUGCAAAGAGCACCCAGAUGAUUCCCAGAUGACAUCUCACUGCCUUCACGGACCAGGACACCACCAGGACCAUCAUCCUGUGACAUCCAGAUCCUAAUGCUUGACUUUCAUUUUGCCUCAUUCCUGCAGAUUCUUGAAAGGAAAUAUAGAACAAAAAUUGCAGGAGCCGCCCAAGACUACAAACAAAAUUAUCGUUUCACUAUCUUAGUAGAAAAAUGAUAUUGGUAUAAUUAAUGAAAUGUAUUUCUUUUCAGGGACAACAAACCAGACAGGAAGCUUUUGGGGGCUCUUUUCCAAAGUGACAGAACCAGUUUGAAGCAGAUUCUACAUUCAUUAAUGCUUUUAAAAAAAACUGGAACAGUCCCACGUAAUGAAGUCUCAGGUUCCGGAGCUGUUCAGCCAGAGCUUUCUCCUGUCACGGCUGCCACCAUACCGCCGAUCCACCAGGGGGCGCUUGACCAUCUGCAAGCACAACGAACAGGCAGGAACCCACAAGGAGGACAUCAGCUGGAAUAAGACGGCCAUUCACAAUACCAUGAUUCCAGCGCGUCCUCAGACAAUGUAUCCGCUGCCAAGACAUCCCACGCCCGAAGACCAUGAAGACCAGCAUCC